UUAUCUACUUCACAUAUAUACUAAAAUUGGAACAAUACAAAGUAAGUUAGCAUGGGCCCUGCUCAAGGAUGACAGGCAAAAGAAGUGUGGCUGUGGAUGGUGAC